rnacentral:lncRNA from 1 species
UUUCCCAAACAUAUAUGAUACACAUUCAUUUCCCCAUUCCAAACCCAACUCACUUCUCUCACCCAAGGACUUCAAAAGCAUUUCCCAACAUAAAACACACUUUUUUCACGUUUUUUUUACAAGGGAUUUCUUACACUUUUUGAACACCUCUUAGCUCAUACUAAUUUUGCUAGCCCCCUUUCCUUUAUUCUUAUUUUUCUUUUUUUUUUCUUUUUUUUUAUGUUUGGGGGCAAGACUUUUCACAAACUGAGCUAGAAGUUUCUCUACUUAUCCCAUAAAGACUAGUCAAUUAAGCACAAGAGUUCACUCUUUUCCUUCAACUUUCUCAUACUCUCAAAUCAAACUUUACAACACUCACCCCCA